ACUAUGAGUUGGUGAAAAGUUCCAUUUUCUUCUCUAGUCAAAUGAAGAUUGUCUAUUCAUAAAAGCCAUGUAAAGUUUAUUUGUGUUUUUGCUGCAAGCUAUAAUAAGGAUGGGCAUUAACUUUUAUUGACUGCUAUCUUUCAUUGGGUAAUCAGAUCUUUGGCAAAGGGGGUUGUCUCUAUAUUAUCUUGAUAGGUAUGAGGAGGGUGCGGAACAAUUCCGUUUAGAUGUUGCCCAGAAUCCAAAUGACACAGAGGAGUCGAUAUGGUGCUUCCUCUGUGAAGCUCAACUGUAUGGAGUUGGUGAAGCAAGAAAAAGAUAUCUUGAGGUAGGUAGAGAUUCACGACCAGUCAUGCGAGAAGCUUAUAACAUGUUUAAAGACGGUGGUGACCCAGAAAAUCUUGUUGCUGCAUUUUCAAGUGGACAGCCAAAUGAAUAUUUCUAUGCUUCUCUGUAUGCUGGGUUGUACUACGAAUCCCAGAAUGAGCCAGAUGCAGCUAAAGUUCAUUUAAUUGCUGCUUGUCAAUCGGCUUACGGAUCAAGGUCUGAUGAUUACAUGGCUGCUCUUGCCAAGGUUCAUUGCAAAUGUAGAAACUGGAACCUCAACUAAGAGAAUACACUCAAGUGCAGUGAGUAUGGUAAAUUCGUUGUUCCGAAAUUUCUCACCAAAUUUGUUUGCACUGUUAAAAAGGAGAUGGAAAGAAGAGAAAGGACUCCAGAACAAAAAAGGGAGAACACAUAUGGUUUCUCGUCUUUCAUACACUGUUGAAGAUAGAACAGAAAGAAAUGGAGUGAAUUAUUGUUCUAAAGAAAAAAAGAGUAGAAGAGAGAGGGAAGUAUAGCAACCAUCUUUACAUGACUGGACACAGUCACACAGGUAUAACUGAUGUAAAAUUUAAACUCCUGAUAAUAAAAGGAGGUAUUUGAAAUUAUGAGCUGUUAUGUAAAGGUUUUAUUUGAUUUGUUCCUGUUCAAAUUUUGAGUUAAAAAUGCAUUACUCAUCUA